UAGAGUUUGAUCAUGGCUCAGGAUGAACGCUGGCGGCGUGCCUAAUACAUGCAAGUCGAACGAGUUCUCGUUGAUGAUCGGUGCUUGCACCGAGAUUCAACAUGGAACGAGUGGCGGACGGGUGAGUAACACGUGGGUAACCUGCCCUUAAGUGGGGGAUAACAUUUGGAAACAGAUGCUAAUACCGCAUAGAUCCAAGAACCGCAUGGUUCUUGGCUGAAAGAUGGCGUAAGCUAUCGCUUUUGGAUGGACCCGCGGCGUAUUAGCUAGUUGGUGAGGUAAUGGCUCACCAAGGCGAUGAUACGUAGCCGAACUGAGAGGUUGAUCGGCCACAUUGGGACUGAGACACGGCCCAAACUCCUACGGGAGGCAGCAGUAGGGAAUCUUCCACAAUGGACGCAAGUCUGAUGGAGCAACGCCGCGUGAGUGAAGAAGGCUUUCGGGUCGUAAAACUCUGUUGUUGGAGAAGAAUGGUCGGCAGAGUAACUGUUGUCGGCGUGACGGUAUCCAACCAGAAAGCCACGGCUAACUACGUGCCAGCAGCCGCGGUAAUACGUAGGUGGCAAGCGUUAUCCGGAUUUAUUGGGCGUAAAGCGAGCGCAGGCGGUUUUUUAAGUCUGAUGUGAAAGCCCUCGGCUUAACCGAGGAAGCGCAUCGGAAACUGGGAAACUUGAGUGCAGAAGAGGACAGUGGAACUCCAUGUGUAGCGGUGAAAUGCGUAGAUAUAUGGAAGAACACCAGUGGCGAAGGCGGCUGUCUGGUCUGUAACUGACGCUGAGGCUCGAAAGCAUGGGUAGCGAACAGGAUUAGAUACCCUGGUAGUCCAUGCCGUAAACGAUGAAUGCUAGGUGUUGGAGGGUUUCCGCCCUUCAGUGCCGCAGCUAACGCAUUAAGCAUUCCGCCUGGGGAGUACGACCGCAAGGUUGAAACUCAAAGGAAUUGACGGGGGCCCGCACAAGCGGUGGAGCAUGUGGUUUAAUUCGAAGCAACGCGAAGAACCUUACCAGGUCUUGACAUCUUUUGAUCACCUGAGAGAUCAGGUUUCCCCUUCGGGGGCAAAAUGACAGGUGGUGCAUGGUUGUCGUCAGCUCGUGUCGUGAGAUGUUGGGUUAAGUCCCGCAACGAGCGCAACCCUUAUGACUAGUUGCCAGCAUUUAGUUGGGCACUCUAGUAAGACUGCCGGUGACAAACCGGAGGAAGGUGGGGAUGACGUCAAAUCAUCAUGCCCCUUAUGACCUGGGCUACACACGUGCUACAAUGGAUGGUACAACGAGUUGCGAGACCGCGAGGUCAAGCUAAUCUCUUAAAGCCAUUCUCAGUUCGGACUGUAGGCUGCAACUCGCCUACACGAAGUCGGAAUCGCUAGUAAUCGCGGAUCAGCACGCCGCGGUGAAUACGUUCCCGGGCCUUGUACACACCGCCCGUCACACCAUGAGAGUUUGUAACACCCGAAGCCGGUGGCGUAACCCUUUUAGGGAGCGAGCCGUCUAAGGUGGGACAAAUGAUUAGGGUGAAGUCGUAACA
rnacentral:rRNA from 2 species